rnacentral:tRNA from 1 species
GGGCCCUUAGCUCAGCGGUAGAGCAGCGCCAUGACAUGGCGAAGGUCGAAGGUUCGAACCCUUCAGGGCCUACCA